rnacentral:rRNA from 1 species
UACGUAGGUGGCAAGCGUUAUCCGGAAUUAUUGGGCGUAAAGCGCGCGUAGGCGGUUGUUUAAGUCUGAUGUGAAAGCCCACGGCUUAACCGGGGAGUGUCAUUGGAAACUGGUAAACUUGAGUGCAGAAGAGGAGAGUGGAAUUCCAUGUGUAGCGGUGAAAUGCGUAGAGAUAUGGAGGAACACCAGUGGCGAAGGCGACUUCCUGGUCUGUAACUGACGCUGAUGUGCGAAAGCGUGGGGAUCAAACAGG